GAGGGUAUAGCUCGGUGAUAGAGCACAUGCCUAGCAUGCACAAGGUCCUGGGUUCAAUCCCCAGUCCCUCCA
rfam:Camelus ferus unplaced genomic scaffold scaffold1402, whole genome shotgun sequence.